GAGAUUUUAACAAGAACCCCAACUUAAAAAAAAAAUUGUUAAAAAGAUGUUCAUGUAUUUUUCAAGAAAUGAAGUUUGAAGUUCAGAGAUGUGAUUUGGCUUCAAGGCAUUUUUUGACCUUAAGAGUCAAGUCAUAGAACCGAUGGAGAUGACAAUAGGGCUGUUGGUACAGGAACUGCAACUUAACCCUGCACUCGGCAUGGAGAAGCUUCAGUCAAGAUGAGGAAAUGAGGCACAGACUGAGAGCAGAAGCCAAACAUCCUGGCUCCUCAUUCAGGAACCUUCAGGGAAAAAAUGAGGCGACCCAGCCUAUCACCAGACCUGGGAUGGAGACAUGGGUUCGAUCCCUGAUCCGGGAAGAUCCCAUGCACCACGACUACUGAGCCCACACGCCACAACUACUGAAGCCCAUGUGUCCUAGAGCCGGCGAUCCACACCACACAAGCCACCGCAAUGAGAA